CCGACUCCAUGAAGCUGGAUUCGCUAGUAAUCGCGCAUCAGCCACGGCGCGGUGAAUACGUUCCCGGGCCUUGUACACACCGCCCGUCAAGCCAUGGGAGCCGGGGGUGCCUGAAGGCCGUGACCGCGAGGAGCGGCCUAGGGUAAAACUGGUGACUGGGGCUAAGUCGUAACAAGGUAUC
rnacentral:rRNA from 1 species